rnacentral:rRNA from 1 species
UACAGAGGUCUCAAGCGUUGUUCGGAUUCAUUGGGCGUAAAGGGCGCGUAGGCUGCGGGGCAAGUCGGGUGUGAAAUCUCAGAGCUCAACUCUGAAACUGCACUCGAUACUGUCGUGCUUGAGGACUGGAGAGGAGACUGGAAUUUACGGUGUAGCGGUGAAAUGCGUAGAUAUCGUAAGGAAGACCAGUGGCGAAGGCGGGUCUCUGGACAGUUCCUGACGCUGAGGCACGAAGGUCAGGGGAGCAAACGGG